UACAGAGGGUGCGAGCGUUGUUCGGAAUUACUGGGCGUAAAGCGUGCGUAGACGGUUACAUAAGUCGGGUGUGAAAGCCCCGGGCUCAACCUGGGAAUUGCAUUCGAGACUGCGUAGCUAGGGUGCGGAAGAGGGAAGCGGAAUUUCCGGUGUAGCGGUGAAAUGCGUAGAUAUCGGAAGGAACACCAGUGGCGAAAGCGGCUUCCUGGUCCAGCACCGACGUUCAGGCACGAAAGCGUGGGGAGCAAACAGG
rnacentral:rRNA from 1 species